rnacentral:rRNA from 1 species
GACGAACGCUGGCGGCGUGCCUAAUACAUGUAAGUAGAACGCUGAAGAGAGGAGCUUGCUCUUCUUGGAUGAGUUACGAACGGGUGAGUAACGCGUAGGUAACCUGCCUUGUAGCGGGGGAUAACUAUUGGAAACGAUAGCUAAUACCGCAUAACAAUGGAUGACACAUGUCAUUUAUUUGAAAGGGGCAAUUGCUCCACUACAAGAUGGACCUGCGUUGUAUUAGCUAGUAGGUGAGGUAAUGGCUCACCUAGGCGACGAUACAUAGCCGACCUGAGAGGGUGAUCGGCCACACUGGGACUGAGACACGGCCCAGACUCCUACGGGAGGCAGCAGUAGGGAAUCCUCGGCAAUGGGGGCAACCCUGACCGAGCAACGCCGCGUGAGUUAAGAAGGUUUUCGGAUCGUAAAGCUCUGUUGUAAGUCAAGAACGGGUGUGAGAGUGGAAAGUUCACACUGUGACGGUAGCUUACCAGAAAGGGACGGCUAACUACGUG